GGACUACCCGGGUAUCUAAUCCUGUUUGCUCCCCUAGCUUUCGUGCCUCAGUGUCAGGAAGUGUCCAGGGACUCGCCUUCGCCACUGGUGUUCCACUUGAUAUCUACGCAUUUCACUGCUACACCAAGUAUUCCAGUCCCCCCUCCACUCCUCUAGCUAGAUAGUAUCCAAUGCAGUUUCUGGGUUGAGCCCAGAGAUUUCACAUCAGACUUACCUAACCACCUACGCACCCUUUACGCCCAGUGAAUCCGAACAACGCUUGGGACCUCUGUAUUACCGCGGCGGCUGGCAC
rnacentral:rRNA from 2 species